rnacentral:rRNA from 1 species
CAUGCAAGUCGAACGAAUCCCGGGGGGGCAACUCCUCGGGGGAAGUGGCGAAAGGGGCAGUAAGGCAUGGGUAACCUGCCCCGGACUCUGGGAUAGCCGUCCUAACGGACGGGUAAUACCGGAUGUCGUAGAGUGGUGGCCUCACCGUUCUACGAAAGCUUCGGCGGUCCGGGAGGGGCUCAUGUGGUAUUAGCUAGAUGGUGGGGUAACGGCCUACCAUGGCCGAGAUGCCUAGCAGGUGUGAGAGCACGACCUGCGCCACUGGCACUGGGACACUGGCCAGACUCCUACGGGAGGCUGCAGUCGAGAAUCUUCGGCAAUGGGCGAAAGCCUGACCGAGCGACGCCGCGUGUGCGAUGAAGGCCUUCGGGUUGUAAAGCACUGUCGUGGGGGAGAAAAGCCGCAAGGCUUGAUCGACCCCAGGAGGAAGCUCGGGCUAAGUUCGUGCCAGCAGCCGCGGUAAGACGAACCGAGCGAACGUUAUUCGGAAUCACUGGGCUUAAAGGGCGCGUAGGCGGGCCGGCAAGUCCGGGGGUGAAAGCCCCCAGCUCAACUGGGGAAGUGCCUCGGAUACUGUCGGCCUCGAGGGAGGUAGGGGCGUGCGGAACUUCCGGGUGGAGCGGUGAAAUGCGUAGAUAUCGGAAGGAACACCGGUGGCGAAAGCGGCGCGCUGGACUCUUCUGACGCUGAGCGCGAAAGCCAGGGAGC